rfam:Triticum urartu cultivar G1812 contig848926, whole genome shotgun sequence.
CUCUAUUAAGGUGAUGGUGCUCCACCUUUCUCAACCGCCAAAAUUCUCUUGGAUGAUGACGCCUGAUAUAUA